CCUACGGGAGGCAGCAGUGGGGAAUAUUGGACAAUGGGCGAAAGCCUGAUCCAGCCAUGCCGCGUGUGUGAAGAAGGCCUUCGGGUUGUAAAGCACUUUCAGUGGGGAAGAAAGCCUUGGGGCUAAUACCCUCGAGGAAGGACAUCACCCACAGAAGAAGCACCGGCUAACUCCGUGCCAGCAGCCGCGGUAAUACGGAGGGUGCGAGCGUUAAUCGGAAUUACUGGGCGUAAAGCGCGCGUAGGCGGUCUGAUAAGCCGGUUGUGAAAGCCCCGGGCUCAACCUGGGAACGGCAUCCGGAACUGUCAGGCUAGGGUGCAGGAGAGGAAGGUAGAAUUCCCGGUGUAGCGGUGAAAUGCGUAGAGAUCGGGAGGAAUACCAGUGGCGAAGGCGGCCUUCUGGACUGACACUGACGCUGAGGUGCGAAAGCGUGGGUAGCAAACAGGAUUAGAUACCCGAGUAGC
rnacentral:rRNA from 1 species